UACAGAGGUCUCAAGCGUUGUUCGGAUUCAUUGGGCGUAAAGGGUGCGUAGGCGGCGCGGUAAGUCGGGUGUGAAAUCUUGGAGCUUAACUCCGAAACUGCAUUCGAUACUGCCGUGCUUGAGGACUGGAGAGGAGACUGGAAUUUACGGUGUAGCGGUGAAAUGCGCAGAUAUCAGGAGGAACACCAAUUGCGAAGGCAGCUCGCUGGGACGUCACUGACGCUGAGACGCGAAAGCGUGGGGAGCAAACAGG
rnacentral:rRNA from 1 species